rnacentral:rRNA from 1 species
AAGCCUGGGAAACUGGGUCUAAUACUGGAUACUACCUCUUGCCGCAUGGUGGGUGGUGGAAAGGGUUUUACUGGUUUUGGAUGGGCUCACGGCCUAUCAGCUUGUUGGUGGGGUAAUGGCUCACCAAGGCGACGACGGGUAGCCGGCCUGAGAGGGUGACCGGCCACACUGGGACUGAGACACGGCCCAGACUCCUACGGGAGGCAGCAGUGGGGAAUAUUGCACAAUGGGCGGAAGCCUGAUGCAGCGACGCCGCGUGAGGGAUGACGGCCUUCGGGUUGUAAACCUCUUUCAGUAGGGAAGAAGCGAGAGUGACGGUACCUGCAGAAGAAGCGCCGGCUAACUACGUGCCAGCAGCCGCGGUAAUACGUAGGGCGCAAGCGUUGUCCGGAAUUAUUGGGCGUAAAGAGCUCGUAGGCGGUUUGUCGCGUCUGCUGUGAAAGCCCGGGGCUCAACCCCGGGUCUGCAGUGGGUACGGGCAGACUAGAGUGCAGUAGGGGAGACUGGAAUUCCUGGUGUAGCGGUGAAAUGCGCAGAUAUCAGGAGGAACACCGAUGGCGAAGGCAGGUCUCUGGGCUGUUACUGACGCUGAGGAGCGAAAGCAUGGGGAGCGAACAGGAUUAGAUACCCUGGUAGUCCAUGCCGUAAACGUUGGGCACUAGGUGUGGGGGACAUUCCACGUUUUCCGCGCCGUAGCUAACGCAUUAAGUGCCCCGCCUGGGGAGUACGGCCGCAAGGCUAAAACUCAAA